rnacentral:lncRNA from 1 species
UUUUUUUUUUUUUUUUUUUGAGACAGAGUUUCACUCUGUUGCCCAGGCGGGAGUACAAUGGUGUGAUCUCGGCUCACUGGAACCUCCGCUUCCCGGGUUCAAGUGAUUCUCCUGCCUCAGCCUCCCGAGUAGCUGGGAUUACAGAUGCCCACCACCACGCCCUACUAAUUUUUGUAUUUUUAGUAGAGAUGGGGUUUCACCAUGUUGGCCAGGCUGGUCUCAAACUCCUAACCUCAAGUGAUCCGCCUGCUUCAGCCUCCCAAAGUGCUGGGAUGACAGGCGUGAGCCACCGUGCCUGGCUGUGACCAGGUACUCUUCUCAGCUGUGGAGUGACUGCAGUGGCCUUAGAGUCUCGUUAUUAAUGGCUGACUUUGUAAUAUCUGCUCUUUGCUCAGGCCAAACACUUCUGUCCCCAAACUCCAGUGACAGGGUGAGUGUUUCAUGAUAGGGCUUUGAGGAGCAAGAAGAUCCCAUAUGAGCCUCUCAUGGCUUCCCAGGAAACCUGUUCUUGCGGGUCUACCAGCCAAUGGUCCCCCUGGCCUCCUUGGCAAGCCCCCAGGUGCCUCUCAAUGGGCCCCAGGUCUGGCUCUUGGUCUCGGCAGGAUAAUGAGACACUGCAGUUCAGCAUGAAGGCCUUUGUGCUCCACAAUGAUGGGGAAGAGGAUGAGGUCAGAGGCUCCAGGGGUGCCUUAGGCCCUACUGAAGGUCUAGGGACUCUUUUCAUGUCAAUCUGCUUACCUUCCCAUGGGGCUUCUCUUCCCUUCCCAUUUUGGGGGCCAGCCCAGAAAAGGGGUGCUGGAUUCCCUGAUAGUUUCUAGAUUUAGCAAAUAAAAAUAUAGGAUGCCAAGUUACAUGUGAAUUUCAGAUAAACAACAAUUUUUUUUUUUUUUUUUGAGACAGAGUCUCCCUCUUUCACCCAGGCUGGAGUGCAGUGGUGCGAUCUCGGCUCACUGCAACCGCUACCUGCCAGGUUCAAUUGAUUCUCAUGCCUCAGUCUCCCAAGUAGCUGGGAUUAUAGCUGUGUGCCACCAUGCCCGGCUAAUGGUGAACAACAGUUUUUUUAGUAUAAAUAUGUCCCAAAUAUUGCAUGGGACAUACUUGUACUAAAUUUCUAAAAAUGUACCUGUGUGUCCUGUAUUUUAUCUGGCAACCCUAACUCCUGAGAAUGGCAAUGGGAUAAAUGGUCCAGAGUUGGGACUUGAAACCC